CGGCUUUGAUCGGAGGUCAGAGUGUCGGCCGACGAUUGUAUAGGUUUUGGAAUAUUAGAUAGGCUGUGAGAGUGAGUGCGAGAGUCGAGACAACGUUAUGCACUUUAUUGUAGGUGCUUAGGGUUAUUUAGUGGAUUUGAUUUGUUUGGCUAAGAAAUGAAACAAUAAAAUGGGUAAUUGGGCCAAAAAUUAAAAAAUUAGAAAUGAA
rnacentral:lncRNA from 1 species